GCCGGAAUGGCGGAAUUGGCAGACGCCCCGGACUUAAAAUCCGGUGAGGUUAACCCCUCGUGCCGGUUCAAGCCCGGCUUCCGGCACCA
rnacentral:tRNA from 1 species